rnacentral:lncRNA from 1 species
CAUCGGGAGUACUAAAAGACUCUCUCAACACCUCGACUAUGUCUUUUGAUUGAGCCUCUUCAAACUUUCGACUAAAUUCGUCGUUCAUGAAGCCCGUAUUACACAACGAACCAUGGUGCGAUCGUUGAGCCACUUCAAGUGUCUUAAACUAUGUCACAGCAUUAGGAGUGGGUUUCUUAGGUGCCGAAUCUGUAAUGAUGUACAUGAUCUGCUCGUACUCCAAGAUGAUUUUUAGUUUUCGAUAUUAAUUAUCGAAAUUAAAUCUCAUUAAUUUCUCACUAUCCAACAGUGAUCGAAGCGACAAGUUUGAGGUCAUAUCUGCACAAAACUAAAACCUAAUCAGUAUAUGAAUUAAUUAAGCCUAAAGAUAUGGACUUUAGUCUAAAGGUUCUCUCAUUAUUUUAUACGAAUUGAUAGUCUUUACCUUCAAUUCGAGUAAUUACUUUAAUUUCUUAGCGGGUACUAGAAUCCACACAGACUGCACACAUACCCCACUUUGGCUAGCUUACCUAUGUACAUUUAUGGGUAGGUUCAUUAAUCAUUAUUUCACCAAACAAUUUCUAGUAUUUGAUUUAGCCCCAGGUAACUUUUCAGUUGACUUUAAUCUUCUCUGUAAGUCCUGAUUAGGUCCAACCAUUAACAUGAUUAUACUUAAGAAUCUAACUACCAAAUGAUCAGAUCCGAUUUUGAUCGGUUAACUUAACCACUUACUAGAGAGACUCAACUAAAUCAUCAUAUUAUGAAUGAUAAUUUCAAUAGUAGAUGAGCACCAGGCCUUUGGACCUCCAAUGAGCAUCAUACUAAUAGAUCUAUUAUCAUCCAACUUAAUGGGAGGCUAUGAUUUAGUUAUCACCAUAACUAUAUCAUUUUAGGGAUAUAAUAAUUUAGAGAAUUUGAUUUAUGAAUUAAGCGAAGAAAAAAGAAGAGAUCAAUCAGUAAACCACAAUCCUCCCACUGACUUUAUCAAGUCAUUGAAUUGGAUUAAGGUUAUGCUAGUCGAACUGGCACUUAGAUUAGUCACACUGAUCAACCUUAAUGGCA